ensembl:snRNA U6 U6 spliceosomal RNA
GUGCUUGUUUCAGCAGCACAUAUACUACAAUUUGAACAACAUAGAGAACAUUAGCAUGGCCCCUGCAUGAGGAUGACAUACAAUUCAUGAAACAUUUCAUAUUUUU